rnacentral:hammerhead_ribozyme from 1 species
AUCCAGCUGACAAGUUCCAGAUAGGACGAAACACGCAUCCUGUAU